rnacentral:rRNA from 1 species
UACGAAGGGGGCGAGCGUUGUUCGGAAUUACUGGGCGUAAAGGGCGCGUAGGCGGCCGAUCAAGUCAGAUGUGAAAGUCCUGGGCUUAACCUGGGGACUGCAUUUGAUACUGAUUGGCUCGAAUUCGGGAGAGGAUAGCGGAAUUCCCAGUGUUGAGGUGAAAUUCGUAGAUAUUGGGAAGAACACCGGUGGCGAAGGCGGCUAUCUGGACCGACAUUGACGCUGAGGCGCGAAAGCGUGGGGAGCAAACAGG